rnacentral:rRNA from 1 species
UACGGAGGGUGCAAGCGUUAUCCGGAUUCACUGGGUUUAAAGGGUGCGUAGGUGGGUCUGUAAGUCCGUGGUGAAAUCUCCGAGCUUAGCUUGGAAACUGCCAUGGAUACUAUAGAUCUUGAAUACUGUGGAGGUUAGCGGAAUAUGUCAUGUAGCGGUGAAAUGCUUAGAUAUGACAUAGAACACCAAUUGCGAAGGCAGCUGGCUACACAAAUAUUGACACUGAUGCACGAAAGCGUGGGGAUCAAACAGG